UACUCCUACGGGAGGCAGCAGUGAGGAAUAUUGGUCAAUGGGCGAGAGCCUGAACCAGCCAAGUAGCGUGCAGGAUGACGGCCCUAUGGGUUGUAAACUGCUUUUAUACGGGAAUAAAGUGAGUCACGUGUGAUUCAUUGCAUGUACCGUACGAAUAAGGACCGGCUAAUUCCGUGCCAGCGAGCCGCGGUAAUA
rnacentral:rRNA from 1 species